ACAGGCCCGUGCACACAGGUGCCUCUGUCUCCAGCUGGAGCAGCUGGGUCCGUCUUCUAUGACAAUCAUUUUCCUGCUUUUCUGUAGAGUCUCCUCUAGACUCUGCCAGAACCACAAGCUUGCACAGUGGACUGAGCAGCCUCAUGCAAAAAGGAUUUCUUCAAGGAUUUCUGCCUAUCAACUGUUUGUUCAACCUGGAGCUGAUAACACAUGGGUGUUGGUCAUUGUGACCAAGGAUUAUUGCUUUAAAAUACCUAAGGUGAGGUAUAGCAGAAUGGUCUACGUGACCAGGUCCUGACAACUGCUUUCUAAAGAGCACCAAUUUGCACUGCCGAGAUGGGGACACCAAGGCUCAAGGAAUGAUGAGUUGCCAUUAGGCACAGGAGCUGGAACUGGAACCUGGAUCCGCCUGGCCUUGACUUGGUUCUUUGAUUGCUUUGCCAAAUGACCUGGGAGAUUUACCGGUUCUCGCCUACACCCGUGGCUCUCUGCACCUGCCCU